rnacentral:rRNA from 1 species
AUUGAACGCUGGCGGCAGGCUUCACACAUGCAAGUCGAGCGAGCGGCGGACGGGUGAGUAAUGUCUGGGAAACUGCCUGAUGGAGGGGGAGAACUACUGGAAACGGUAGCUAAUAACGAAUACCAUACGAUGUGCACAGAUGGGAUUAGCUAGUAGUGUGGGUAAUGGCUCACCUAGGCGACGAUCCCUAGCUGGUCUGAGAGGAUGACCAGCCAAACCGGAACUGAGACACGGUCCAGAAUCCGAUGUUAGGUAGCAGUGGGAAAGAUUGCACAAUUGGCGCAAGCCCUAUGCAUCCAUGCCGCGUGUAUGAAGAAGGCCUUCGGGUUGUAAAGCACUUUCAGCGGGGAGGCUUUACUCGCAGAAGAAGCACCGGCUAACUCCGUGUCAGCAGCCGCGGUAAUAC